rnacentral:rRNA from 1 species
AUGACAGUACCUGGUAAAGAAACNCCGGCUAAACUCCGUGCCAGCAGCCGCGGUNAUACGGAGGGGGUUAGCGUUGUUCGGAAUUACUGGGCGUAAAGCGCACGUAGGCGGAUUAGNAAGUAUGNGGUGAAAUCCCAGGGCUCAACCNUGGAACUGCNUCAUAAACUCCUAAUCUAGAGUUCGAGAGAGGUGAGUGGAAUUCCGAGUGUAGAGGUGAAAUUCGUAGAUAUUCGGAGGAACACCAGUGGCGAAGGCGGCUCACUGGCUCGAUACUGACGCUGAGGUGCGAAAGUGUGGGGAGCANACAGGAUUAGAUACCCUCGGUAGUCCACACCGUAAACGAUGAAUGCCAGUCGUCGGAUAGUAUACUAUUCGGUGACACACCUAACGGAUUAAGCAUUCCGCCUGGGGAGGACGAAACCUGGAAAAAU